UAGAAUAUGUAGUGUAGCGGUGAAGUGGUUAGAUAUUACAUGGAAUACCAAUUGCGAAGGCAGGUUACUAUGUAUUUAUUGACGCUGAUGAACGAAAGCGUGGGGAGCGAACAGGAUUAGAUACCCUGGUAGUCCACGCCGUAAACGAUGGAUACUAGCUGUUCGGUUUUCGGAGUGAGUGGCUAAGCGAAAGUGAUAAGUAUCCCACGUGGGGAGUACGUUAGCAAGAAUGAAACUCAAAGGAAUUGACGGGGGGCCGCACAAGCGGUGGAGCAUGUGGUUUAAUUAGAUGAUACGCGAGGAACCUUACCAGGGCUUAAAUGUAGAUUGACAGAUUUGGAAACAGAUUUUUCUUCGGACAAUUUACAAGGUGCUGCAUGGUUGUCGUCAGCUCGUGCCGUGAGGUGUCAGGUUAAGUCCUAUAACGAGCGCAACCCCUAUUCUUAGUUACCAGCGGGUAGUGGCGGGGACUCUAGCAAGACUGCCGGUGCAAACCGUGAGGAAGGUGGGGAUGACGUCAAAUCAUCACGGCCCUUACGUCCUGGGCUACACACGUGCUACAAUAACAAGUACAGAAAGCAGCUACCUGGCAACAGGAUGCGAAUCUCCAAAGCUUGUCUCAGUUCGGAUUGGAGUCUGCAACUAGACUCUAUGAAGCUGGAAUCGUUAGUAAUCGGAUAUCAGCCAUGAUC
rnacentral:rRNA from 1 species